CCUGGCGGCCAUAGCGCGGUGGCACCACCUGAUCCCAUGCCGAACUCAGAAGUGAAACGCCGUAGCGCCGAUGGUAGUGUGGGGUCUCCCCAUGCGAGAGUAGGACACUGCCAGGC
rnacentral:rRNA from 1 species